AUGGUUCUGCUAUCACUAAGAGAUGGUCCCGCGGUGCAUUAGUUAGUUGGUGAGGUAAUGGCUCACCAAGACGAUGAUGCAUAGCCGAGUUGAGAGACUGAUCGGCCACAAUGGGACUGAGACACGGCCCAUACUCCUACGGGAGGCAGCAGUAGGGAAUCUUCCACAAUGGGCGAAAGCCUGAUGGAGCAACGCCGCGUGUGUGAUGAAGGGUUUCGGCUCGUAAAACACUGUUGUAAGAGAAGAAUGACAUUGAGAGUAACUGUUCAAUGUGUGACGGUAUCUUACCAGAAAGGAACGGCUAAAUACGUGCCAGCAGCCGCGGUAAUACGUAUGUUCCAAGCGUUAUCCGGAUUUAUUGGGCGUAAAGCGAGCGCAGACGGUUAUUUAAGUCUGAAGUGAAAGCCCUCAGCUCAACUGAGGAAUUGCUUUGGAAACUGGAUGCCUUGAGUGCAGUAGAGGAAAGUGGAACUCCAUGUGUAGCGGUGAAAUGCGUAGAUAUAUGGAAGAACACCAGUGGCGAAGGCGGCUUUCUGGACUGUAACUGACGUUGAGGCUCGAAAGUGUGGGUAGCAAACAGGAUUAGAUACCCUGGUAGUCCACACCGUAAACGAUGAGUGCUAGGUGUUUGAGGGUUUCCGCCCUUAAGUGCCGCAGCUAACGCAUUAAGCACUCCGCCUGGGGAGUACGACCGCAAGGUUGAAACUCAAAGGAAUUUGACGGGGACCCGCACAAGCGGUGGAGCAUGUGGUUUAAUUCGAAGCAACGCGAAGAACCUUACCAGGUCUUGACAUCCCUUGACAACUCCAGAGAUGGAGCGUUCCCUUCGGGGACAAGGUGACAGGUGGUGCAUGGUUGUCGUCAGCUCGUGUCGUGAGAUGUUGGGUUAAGUCCCGCAACGAGCGCAACCCUUAUUACUAGUUGCCAGCAUUUAGUUGGGCACUCUAGUGAGACUGCCGGUGACAAACCGGAGGAAGGUGGGGAUGACGUCAAAUCAUCAUGCCCCUUAUGACCUGGGCUACACACGUGCUACAAUGGCGUAUACAACGAGUUGCCAACCCGCGAGGGUGAGCUAAUCUCUUAAAGUACGUCUCAGUUCGGAUUGUAGGCUGCAACUCGCCUACAUGAAGUCGGAAUCGCUAGUAAUCGCGGAUCAGCACGCCGCGGUGAAUACGUUCCCGGGUCUUGUACACACCGCCCGUCACACCAUGAGAGUUUGUAACACCCAAAGCCGGUGGGGUAACCUUCGGGAGCCAGCCGUCUAAGGUGGGACAGAUGAUUAGGGUGAAGUCGUAACAAGGUAACCAUAGGGG
rnacentral:rRNA from 1 species